rnacentral:rRNA from 1 species
AACGAACGCUGGCGGCAGGCUUAACACAUGCAAGUCGAACGCCCCGCAAGGGGAGUGGCAGACGGGUGAGUAACACGUGGGAACAUACCCAAAGGUACGGAAUAUUCUCGGGAAACUGAGAGCAAUUCCGUAUGUGCCCGAAAUUGGAAAGAUUUAUCUCCUUUGGAUUGGCCCGCGUUGGAUUAGCUAGUUGGUGGGGUAAGAGACUACCAAGGGGACGAUCCGUAGCUGGUCGGAGAGGACGACCAUCCACACUGGGACUGAGAGACGGCCCAGACUCCUACGGGAGGAAGAAGGGGGGAAGGUUGAACAAGGGGCGAAAGCCUGAGCAAGCCAGGCCGGGUGGAUGAUGAAGGCCCUAGGGUUGUAAAAGCCUUUAGUUGGGGACGAUAAGGACGGAACCAAAAGAAGAAGCUCCGGCUAACUUCGU